rnacentral:lncRNA from 10 species
CCCUUCUCUCCUUGUCUCUACCCCUUCUCUGCUUUUCUGGGGGAGGGGCAAGAACCCCUCAACCUCUUCUCCUUUAACCUUAGCGGCAAGUCCCACUUUUCUAGGGGUCAGGAACCCCCAAUCCCUUAUUUCCACACCCUGACCUCUUAUCUCUGUGCCCCAAUCCCUUAUUUCCAUGCCCCAACCUCUUAACUCUGCACCCUGAUCCCUUAUUUCCAUGCCCCGACCUCUUAUCUCUUUGCCCUGAUCCCUUAUUUCCAUGCCCCACCUCUUAUCUCUGUGCCCUGACCCCUUAUUUCCACACCCCAACCCCUUUCCCAUUUUUCUGGAGGGUAAGAACCCCCGAACCCCUUCCCUCCGUGUCUCUACUCUCUCUUUUCUCUGGGCUUGCUUCCUUCACUAUGGGCAAAUUUCCACCCUCCAUUCCUCCUUCUUCUCCCUUAGCCUGUGUUCUCAAGAACUUAAAACCUCUUCAACUCACACCUGACCUAAAACCUAAAUGCCUUAUUUUCUUCUGCAAUGCCGCUUGACCCCAAUACAAACUCGACAGUAGUUCCAAAUAGCCAGAAAACGGCAUUUCCAUUUUUUCCAUCCUACAAGAUUUAAAUAAUUCUUGUCGUAAAAUGGGCAAAUGGUCUGAGGUGCCUGACAUCCAGGCAUUCUUUUACACAUCAGUCACUCCCUAGCCUCUGUUCCCAAUGCAACUCGUCCCAAAUCUUCCUUCUUUCCCUCCCACCUGUCCCCUCAGUCCCAACCCCAAGCAUCACUGAGUCUUUCUAAUCUUCAUUUUCUACAGACCUAUCUGACCUCUCCCCUCCUCACCAGGCCGAGCUAGGUCCCAAUUCUUCCUCAGCCUCUGCUCCUCCACCCUAUAAUCCUUUUAUCACCUCCCCUCCUCACACCUGGUCCAGCUUACAGUUUCGUUCCAUGACUAGCCCUCCCCCACCUGCCCAGCAAUUUACUCUUAAAAAGGUGGCUGGAGCUAAAGUCAUAGUCAAGGUCAAUGCUCCUUUUUCUUUAUUCCAGAUCAGAUAGCGUUUAGGCUCUUUCUCAUCAAAUAUAAAAAUCCAGCCCAGUUCCUGACUCGUUUGGCAGCAACCCUGAGACGUUUUACAGCCCUAGACCCUAAAAGGUCAAAAGGCCGUCUUAUUCUCAAUAUACAUUUUAUUACCCAAUCUGCUCCCAACAUUAAAUAAAACUCCAAAAAUUAAAUUCCGGCCCUCAAACCCCACAACAGGACUUAAUUAACCUCACCUUCAAGGUGUACAAUAAUAGAGUAUAGGCAGCCAACUAGCAACAUAUUUCUGAGUUGCAAUUCCUUGCCUCCACUGUGAGACAAACCCCAGCCACAUCUCCAGCACACAAGAACUUCCAAACGCCUAAACCGCAGUGGCCAGGCAUUCCUCCAGAACUGCCUCCCCCAGGCGCUUGCUACAAGUGCCAGAAAUCUGGCCACCAGGCCAAGGAAUGCCCGCAGCCCGGGAUUCCUCCUAAGCCGUGUCCCAUCUGUGGGGGACCCCACUGGAAAUCGGACUGUUCAACUCACCUGGCAGCCACUCCCAGAGCCCCUGGAACUCUGGCCCAAGGCUCUCUGACUGACUCCUUCCCAGAUCUUCUCGGCUUAGCAGCUGAAGACUGACGUUGCUCGAUCGCCUCGGAAGCCCUGUAGACCACCACAGACGCCGAGCUUCAGGUUUUGCCUGCACCAACCCCCGCCCCACUCCAAGGUUCAGGAUUGCUGAGAUGCAGCAGGAGAGUUAUAGGGGAUGCACUUGAGGCUGAGGGGCCAGCUGGGAGGUGGCACAGACAAGCCAUGAGAGAAGCCGGUGGCCUGGCCCAGGCAGUGACCAAAGGAGUGGAGAGAGCCGACGUGCCAAGUGUCUCUGAGAGGAGAGCUGCACGGGCCCAGUGACAUCCUGGCUGGGGGUGAAGGAGGACUCGUCAAUGAGGACUGACCCCUCCCAGAUUCCAGCUUGGCUUUGCCUUCCAGUUGCAAAAAAUGGUAUCUUCUUACCACUAAAGAGGUGGAAAAUGCAGGAAAUCACAAAGAAGAAAAACAUCGCCAGCAACCCUGGAGCCCUGAAAGAAAAAUCACUGUGGCUAUUUUCACAUUUUCUCUUCCAGAUUUUCUUCAGUAUGUAUAAUAUAUGCACACCAAUAAAUAAGUGUUUUACAAAACAGA